UGGGGAAUAUUGCACAAUGGGCGAAAGCCUGAUGCAGCGACGCCGCGUGAGCGAUGAAGGCCUUCGGGUCGUAAAGCUCUGUCCUAAGGGAAGAACUGUGACGGUACCUUAGGAGGAAGCCCCGGCUAACUACGUGCCAGCAGCCGCGGUAAUACGUAGGGGGCGCGCGUUGUCCGGAUUUACUGGGCGUAAAGGGUGCGUAGGCGGCCUAACAAGUCAGGGGUUAAAGCCCUCGGCUCAACCGAGGUAAGCCCUUGAAACUGUUAGGCUUGAGCGCAGGAGAGGAGAGCGGAAUUCCUAGUGUAGCGGUGAAAUGCGUAGAUAUUAGGAAGAACACCAGUGGCGAAGGCGGCUCUCUGGACUGCAGCUGACGCUGAGGCACGAAAGCGUGGGGAGCGAACA
rnacentral:rRNA from 1 species